rnacentral:rRNA from 1 species
GAUGAACGCUGGCGGCGUGCCUCAAACAUGCAAGUCGAGCGGGGCUAUGUAAUAUCGCAAGGUAGAACAUAGCCUAGCGGCGAACGGGUGAGUAACACGUGGGUAACCUGCCUGGAAGACAGGGAUAACGAUUCGAAAGGGUCGCUAAUACCUGAUAAUAUCCUUUCAUCGCAUGGUGAUAGGAAGAAAGGGGAAACCCGCUUUCAGAUGGGCCCGCGUCCCAUCAGCUAGUUGGUAAGGUAAAGGCUUACCAAGGCGACGACGGGUAGCCGACCUGAGAGGGUGACCGGCCACACUGGGACUGAGACACGGCCCAGACUCCUACGGGAGGCAGCAGUGGGGAAUAUUGCGCAAUGGACGGAAGUCUGACGCAGCGACGCCGCGUGAGCGACGAAGGCCUUCGGGUCGUAAAGCUCUGUUCUUGGGGACGAAUAAAAUGACGGUACCCAAGGAGAAAGCCCCGGCUAACUACGUG